AUUGCUCAUUUGCACGCCAAACUAAACUGGUGAAUCAUAAUCACUCGCGCGCUUCACGAGACUUUUCAAAAAGUCUCACUUUAAUUGUAACUUCGUUUUUCUUAUUUUUGCUUUUUAUUUCUGAAUGCAUCAUGCAUCUGUCUCGUGCAAUCAUUUGUACCUGCAUCGUCACUAUACUAGCGAUGAUUUUCUUUGGCAUCGAUUUUCGUAUCCUUUUUAAAAAAUGUCCUCACUCGGAGCAAAUUGUAGACAAUGUGUAUUGCACUACUUCCGGUUUGACUACCAUCAGCAGAAUGAUCGUUAUUUGCAUUCUCCAAGCAGUUUUAUAUUGCGGAAUAAGAUCUAGAUCUUCGAGAUUGCUGAAAAUUUGGCUGGGCACUAUGAUCCUUGUGGUUAUACCCAUAACUGCUGGCAUAAUUUUAUACCAUAGCAAACACGGAGAUGGAUAUUUCAUCACAACCAAUAUUAUCCUUUUAGUGCUUUUUGUAUGUGAUAUAGUAAAUAUUGGUGCUUACCGGGCUUCCUUGAGAGAUCAAAAUUACAUUCAAUUUUCAAAUUAUUAAGUACAUAAAAAUUUAAUAUUAUGUUAGAUUAUGUUAUAAUUAUAUGAAAAUUACUUAAAUAGAAAUGCAUUUAAAAAAUUAUUUUUAAUAAAAUCCUACAAAGAUAUCAUUUAAAUCUAUUUGUAUUUUUUCCUUAUUACAUUUUUGGAUUUAAUAAUAAAUAAUAAUUGAGGACUAUUGUGGUCUAGAUCCGAGUCGAAAACAUGAGCGAGUGUUCUGCAAAGAACUUUGCAUAUCUUGAUGUAUUUAAAUUGGUGAGAGGGGGAGGAGAAAUUGAAAACUGCUCAAAAAUUUAAAUCAAAAUCAAAUUUUCCUUGGUAUGAUUAACUUUUUUGAGUACUAACAAGGGUUUCAAGUAGAAGAUAUUAUGUUAUUUAACGAAAAAAGAGUUAUCUUUUGUUGUUUUCAGUGAAAGUGAAAAUUGUUUAAAUUUCUGAGCAAAGCAUCAGCCAUCAAAAUCUUUAUAUGUCUGCUGAAGAACAUAACAAAAAUAUUGAUAGUAUCAAUAAUAUGCAAAUGAUAAGUUGGUGAUGAAUUUUAUCACACAAGCCUGUACCACCACAUCCGUUAAAGUUUAUCUUUAUUCACUACCACAGUAAUCAUUUGUCCUUGCGCCAGCCAACAACGUAUACAGCCUAAUAAGACCACUUCACAAAGUUGAUUUUGGCCUCCCAAAAUUAAAUAGCUCAAGUUAAUAAUACUUAAAGGGCUUUCAAACAAGAGAAUAAUUGGUCCUUUAUUUCAAGAUGUCUUACACGAUUACUUUCACCAUAUUCGUCUCAAUGGCAAUGGCGUCCAUCUUCAUUGUCGACAUGAGGUACAUUGUCUGGGGUUGUCAAGAUUCUUACACUAUCACUUGUGACGUUUACGCCCGUAAUUCUGGAAUUUUUAUUGGAAGACUGAUCAUUUAUAGCAUUAUUCAAGGACUUUUACUUUACGGAUUGAGAAUUAAAUCUCCAAGGAUAAUGACAUACUGGUUGGGUCUCAUGGUCUUUUUGAUUGUGCCAUACACGAUGUUUAUAGUUAUUUUGCAUUUUAAUGGAUCAGCCCUUGAGUAUUUAACUCUGGCAAAUUUCUUUAUUUUGAUUCCUUUGCAACUGGAUAUCAUCAAUAUUUCUACAUACCGAGCUAAUCUACCUUCUCAACACAAACAAUGUAUUUUAUUUUAAAUUAUGAGUAUUUAUUUCCAAAAUAAAUAGUAAUAUCAAUCAAAAUAAUAAUAAAUAAA